rnacentral:piRNA from 1 species
UCACGUAUCAGUAGGACUGUGAUGCCCAC